rnacentral:rRNA from 1 species
CUACGGGUCGCAGCAGUGAGGAAUAUUGCACAAUGGGGGGAACCCUGAUGCAGCAACGCCGCGUGGAGGAUGACGCAUUUCGGUGUGUAAACUCCUUUUAUAUGUCAAGAAAAUGACGGUAGCAUAUGAAUAAGCGCCGGCUAACUCCGUGCCAGCAGCCGCGGUAAUAAGGAGGGCGCAAGCGUUACUCGGAAUCACUGGGCGUAAAGGACGCGUAGGCGGGUUGAAAAGUCAGGUGUGAAAGCCUACAGUUUAACUGUAGAACUGCACUUGAAACUCUCAAUCUAGAGUAUGGGAGGGGCAGAUGGAAUUAGUGGUGUAGGGGUAAAAUCCGUAGAUAUCACUAGGAAUACCUAAAGCGAAGGCGAUCUGCUGGAACAUUACUGACGCUAAGGCGUGAAAGCGUGGGGAGCAAACAGGAUUAGAUACCCCAGUAGUC